AUGAACGCUGGCGGCGUGCCUAAUCCAUGCAAGUCGCGCGAACAGACGAGGAGCUUGCUCCUCUGACGUUAGCGGCGGACGGGUGAGUAACACGUGGAUAACCUACCUAUAAGACUGGGAUAACUUCGGGAAACCGGAGCUAAUACCGGAUAAUAUAUUGAACCGCAUGGUUCAAUAGUGAAAGACGGUUUUGCUGUCACCUAUAGAUGGAUCCGCGCCGCAUUAGCUAGUUGGUAAGGUAACGGCUUACCAAGGCAACGAUGCGUAGCCGACCUGAGAGGGUGAUCGGCCACACUGGAACUGAGACACGGUCCAGACUCCUACGGGAGGCAGCAGUAGGGAAUCUUCCGCAAUGGGCGAAAGCUUGACGGAGCAACGCCGCGUGAGUGAUGAAGGUCUUCGGAUCGUAAAACUCUGUUAUUAGGGAAGAACAAAUGUGUAAGUAACUAUGCACGUCUUGACGGUACCUAAUCAGAAAGCCACGGCUAACUACGUG
rnacentral:rRNA from 1 species